UUCAGUCAUAUUAUAGUACACACUACACGCAUAAUUUACGUUGCAAAAUUAAUAAUUAUUAUUAAUAGUAGAAACAAAAGAAAUUAUAUACAUAGUUUCUUCUAUCCUGCUAUCCUCGUUCUUUUGCUAUAAUAAAAUGUGGACAAUUUUAGACUUUUAUAAUUUCAAGAUAUUCUGGAUUUUUACUUUCGUCGAGUUAUGCAUUGUGGCAUUCCUGAUAUUUAUGCAUAAUACGGAUAUGACACAAUUAAAAAAGCGCCUUUUAACCAGAAAGGUAUUAAAAAAUCAGU